GAAUCCCACUGAGAUGUCCCAAACUCCAUAAAAACAGCAUCAAACAAUAACUUUUCUUUAUACCUGGGCUCAUUUUUCAAGACAUCUUGUUUUAAAGAGGAUCUCUUCUGCAGUAACUGUCAGCCUCCAUUGGCAGUUGCUUGUUCUAUCACCAGGAUCCCUUGGAGCCUUCUGCUAAAUCUGUCAGCUUGGACAUGUGCAGGCAAGCUGAAUACAACAGGAAAGAACAAAUAAAACUAUAACUUUUUGGUCUUUUAAAGGACAGGUUGUCAGGGUGGUGAACAGUUCAUGCUACACAGCUCACAUGAUUGUCAAACGGCAUCUGACAGCAGCAUCGAUUCUGUGCCAUAUUCAUAAUAAGUUCAAUGCCACAAGUUAUAACAUUGUAAUUUUUUUCAAACAUGUUGAUUAAAGUCUCAACCAUA